rnacentral:rRNA from 1 species
CCUACGGGAGGCUGCAGUCGAGAAUCAUUCACAAUGGGGGAAACCCUGAUGGUGCGACGCCGCGUGGGGGAAUGAAGGUCUUCGGAUUGUAAACCCCUGUCAUGUGGGAGCAAAUUAAAAAGAUAGUACCACAAGAGGAAGAGACGGCUAACUCUGUGCCAGCAGCCGCGGUAAUACAGAGGUCUCAAGCGUUGUUCGGAAUCACUGGGCGUAAAGCGUGCGUAGGCUGUUUCGUAAGUCGUGUGUGAAAGGCGCGGGCUCAACCCGCGGACGGCACAUGAUACUGCGAGACUAGAGUAAGGGAGGGGGAACCGGAAUUCUCGGUGUAGCAGUGAAAUGCGUAGAUAUCGAGAGGAACACUCGUGGCGAAGGCGGGUUCCUGGACAGUAACUGACGCUGAGGCACGAAGGCCAGGGGAGCGAAAGGGAUUAGAUACCCGUGUAGUC